rfam:Myotis brandtii contig223703, whole genome shotgun sequence.
GGUGGUUCUCCAGUGAUGCACUUCAGAAUCAGGCUCCCUCCUCUCUGGUUCCAGGUGUGUCACCCAAGAACCACA